UGCAAUUUUAGGAGAGUUUUUCAAGAACAAAGGACCCCAACAAAACAGUACAACAAAAGAGUACAGGCAAGACAAACUUUGUUUUCUCAUGCAAACAUUGUCAUGAUCUGUGCUUUGUGGAAUCCACUUCCUGUUUUAUUUUGAAGAUCCUGUUUUCCCUGUGUUGCUGUUACUUUUUCUUCCGGUCUUUGUUCUUUUUCCCGCCUUAGUUUAAUACUCCAUUGGCUUCACCUGUGUCUUGUCCCUUUCUCUAUUUAACCCCUCCUCACUAGCUCUUCCCAGCCAGAUUGUCUUUGUCAGUUUAGUACAAGCUCUCUCGCGUUUUGAUAUAUCUCUGCUCUCCGUGUAUGACCUGUUUUGAUCUCCCUGGAUUUCUGAUUCUUGCCUGCCCCACUGGUUUUUGUCGCCUGAUUAUUUGCUGCUCUGAUUUUGACUCUGCCGGGUUUUUGUUGGAAUAAAAGAGUGCCUUUUUGGAAACUGAACAACUGCCUCACGUCCUCUGCUUUUGGGUCCACACACUCUCGGCCCCUUACAGUACAAUCUGGCCAUGACGGACCCAGCAGGUGAGGAUUUUUGCCAUGCUCUGGGGGCGCAGGGAAGACGUCUAACUGAGUUGGAGAGGGCAAUUUCCAGCCUGGGCCCUGGAGUUCAGUCGUUGUCUGCCCAGCUGCAAGCCCUGGCAACUCAGACUAACCAGCUGAUGGCUCACCUGGAUACUAUGCCAACUGCCGCUUCGAGCCCUGACAUCUCCUCUUCACCUCCAGUUCCCUCUGCUUCCCUGGGUCAUCAUUCUGAGCCGAGUGCUCCUCCAAUUGAGAGGUAUGAUGGAACUCCUGAGACUUGUCGCUCAUUUUUGACUCUCUGCUUGCUAACCUUCGAGCUUCAGCCCAUCACCUUCCGCACUGAAUGCUCUAAAGUGGCUUUCAUGAUCACCAAUCUCACCAGACGGGCGAGAGAGUGGGCCACUGCUGAGUGGCAGAGGGGUUCAUCCGUUUGUGCCUCUGUGGAUGCCUUUUCUGCUGCUUUGGCCCGUGUGUUUGGUCAACCGGUUCCGGGCCGGGAGGCAGCCCGUGCACUGGGGGCAAGGCAAGGCAGUAGCCAAGUGUUUGAUCAUGCCAUCCAGUUCCGCACUUUGGCGGCUGAGAGUCGUUGGAACGAUGAGGCCCUUGCUGACACUUUUUUUUUUAGUCUUUCUGAGGAUUUAAAGGAUAGACUGACCAUGGUUGAUCUCCCUACCAGUUUCGAAGCUCUUGUGGAACUAGCUAUAAAGGUUGACAACCGGCGACAUGAACGGGAGCGGCUCCGGCCAACGGGCCAUGAGGAUCGGCUGAAUCGGGGAGAGCAUGGCUCUGCAACGGCCCUUGGAUUUACACCUUGCAGCUUGGUCGGACUCGCCUAAGCCUAGAGGAGCAACGUCGCCGUCAGCGUGAGGGACUGUGUCUCUACUGUGGGGGAACCGGCCACUUCCUAGCUCGGUGCCCGGUAAAAGACCAGGCUCAUCGGUAACCAGAGGCCUACUGGUGAGCCACUCCGCAAGCGCCUCUGCACCUACACGCGCCUUGACCCCAGUUCAGCUCAUUACUUCUCCCAAGAAUGUCCUGGAUCUAUCAGCUCUCAUCGACUCUGGCGCUGAUGAAAGUUUCAUGGACCGGGACCUGGCCCGCCAGCUGGACCUGCAGCUCGAGCCUCUUCCUGAGACGCGCCAGGCCCGCACCCUCGAUGGCCACCUGCUUGGACGGGUUACCGAACAGACUCCUCUCCUGUCUCUGCAGAUGUCAGGUAACCACAAAGAGACUAUUUCAUUCCUGAUAAUUGAUUCCCCCCACUACCCCCUUAUCCUCGGUUACUCCUGGUUGUGUAGACAUAACCCUCUGAUUGACUGGGCUACAGGCAGGGUGUUGGGAUGGAGCCUAGCCUGCCAGUCAGCCUGUUUGCUCUCUCUGCCUGUUCCUCCUAGGUCUGCUGAUUCUUCUUUUGAGUUCCCAGAUUUGUCCAUGAUGCCAAGGGUCUACCUAGACAUAAAGGAGUUUUUUUCCAAGGGCCAGGCCGCAUCCUUACCUCCACACCGCCCUUAUGACUGUGCUAUUGAGUUGCUUCCUGGAACAAUGUCACCCAAGGGCCGUCUGUACUCCCUAUCCGCGCCUGAGCGGAGGGCCAUGGAUAAAUACAUCCAGGAGGGGCUAGUGGCAGGGAUCAUCCGUCCUUCUUCCUCCCCUGCUGGAGCUGGAUUCUUCUUCGUGGAUAAAAAAGAUAAGACCAUGUAUUGAUAUCGGGGUCUGAAUGAUAUCACAGUGAAGAACCGCUACCCAUUGCCACUCCUCUCAUCUGCUUUUGAACUUCUUCAAGGGGCUCGUGUCUUCACCAAACUCGACCUGCGCAACGCCCACCAUCUUGUUCGGAUUCGUGAAGGAGACGAGUGGAAGACGGCUUUCAACACACCCAGUGGCCACUAUGAGUAUCUGGUAAUGCCCUUUGGACUUACUAAUGCUCCUGCUGUUUUUCAGUCGCUGAUCAACGACGUUCUCAGGGAGCUGCUGAAUGUCUGUGUUUUUGUCUAUCUCGACGACAUCCUGGUCUUUUCCCAGACCGAAGAGGAGCAUGUGGGUCAUGUCCGUCAGGUGCUGCAGCGGCUGUUUCAGCAUCAGUUAUUCGUAAAGGCAGAGAAAUGUGAGUUUCACCGGACCACUGUGUCUUUUCUUGGACUUGUGAUUUCACCAGGUCAGAUCAAGAUGGACCCUGAAAAGGUCAAGGCCGUUAUGAACUGGCCUGUUCCCACCGAUCGGAAACAGCUCCAACGUUUUCUUGGUUUCGCCAAUUUCUACCGCCGGUUCAUCCGUAACUACAGCCACAUAGCAGCCCCUCUGCAUGCUCUCACCUCCUCAAACUCAAGGUUUGCCUGGUCCUCUGAGGCAGAGACAGCGUUCCGAACCCUCCUGUCCAGAUUCUCCUCGUCACCCAUCCUACAGAUGCCCGACCCCAAGCUCCAGUUUAUUGUAGAGGUGGAUGCGUCCGACGUUGGGGUAGGAGCGGUUCUCUCCCAACGUUCUGCGGGUGACGGAAAGGUUCAUCUGUGCGCCUUCUUCUCCCGGAAGCUGUCUCACGCCGAGCGCAACUACGAUGUUGGGAACCGGGAGCUGCUGGCCAUGAAGCUGGCAUUGGAGGAGUGGAGGCACUGAUUGGAGGGGGCAGGGCAGCCCUUCCUAGUCUGGACUGACCACAAAAACCCGGAGUACAUCCGUGGAGCCAAAAGACUUAACUCCAGACAGGCUAGGUGGGCCCUGUUCUUCACCAGGUUUGAUUUUACCCUGUCUUAUCGCCCCGGGUCCCGAAAUGUCAAGCCGGAUGCCCUGUCCAGGCAGUUUGAGGCAGAAAACCGCCCCCAGGAUGCAGCUCCUAUCCUGCCCUCCGACUGUGUGAUCGGGGCGGUGACCUGGGACAUCAAGAGGGAGGUCCAGCAAGCACUUUCGAUGGCCAGGAUUCCUGUUGGUUGCCCUCCUGGCCAGCUUUUUGUCCCAGGCCCGCUCCGCUCCCGAGUCCUGCAGUGGGGGCACUCCUCUCUAUUAAGCUGUCAUCCUGGGGUGAGUAGAACACUAAGCCUCAUCACACAACGUUUCUGGUGGCCCUCCCUCAGGGAGGAUACUCGUGAGUUUGUCUCUGCCUGUCCCGUCUGUGUCCGCAGCAAGGUCUCCCGAAACCCUCCUGCCGGUCUGCUUAGGCCCCUACCUGUUCCUCGCCGUCCCUGGUCCCAUGUGUCUCUGGACUUUGUCACAGGUUUGCCACCCUUGGGGGGUAAGACUGUCAUCCUCACCAUUGUGGACCGUUUUUCUAAAAUGGCCCAUUUUGUCGCCCUGCCUAAGUUGCCUUCCGCCAAGGAGACAGCGAAGGCAGUUUUAUUUAAUGUGUUUCAUCUCCAUGGUCUUCCUCAGGACAUUGUGUCUGAUCGGGGUCCCCAGUUUGCCUCACGUUUUGGAAGGAGUUCUGCCGGCUGCUCGGAGCGUCGGCCAGCCUCUCCUCCGGCUUCCACCCUCAAACGAAUGGCCAGACAGAGAGGUACAAUCAGGAGAUGGAGACAGCUCUCCGCUGCAUCACCUCCCGGAGUCCAACCAACUGGUCGCAGCAGCUCCUCUGGGUGGAGUAUGCCCACAACUCCCUCCCUGUGGCUUCUACUGGCCUGUCCCCGUUCCAGUGUGUCUACGGGUACCAGCCCCCUCUUUUCCAGGACCUCGAGGGGGAGGUCACAGUUCCAUCAGCUCACGCUUUGGUCCGCCGAUGUCACCUCACCUGGAGGAGAGCCCGUGCAGCCCUUCUCCGCACCAACAUUGGAUACCAGAGGUCCACCAACCGCCGUCGCUCCCAAGCCCCUCGCUACCACGUUGGUCAAGAGGUUUGGCUCUCCACCCGUGACCUGCCGGUUCGGGGGGAGUGUUGCAAGCUGGCUCCAAGGUUCGUGGGGCCCUUUCCCAUCUCAGAGGUCAUCAACCCUGCUGCCGUUCGCCUUCGCCUUCCUCGGACCAUGAGGGUCCACCCCACCUUCCAUGUGUCACGGAUCAAACCUGUCAGGACAAGUCGUCUGCUCCCACCCUCCGACCCGCCUCCACCACCCAGGUUCAUUGAUGGAGGCCCAGUUUAUACUGUAAAUCGCCUGCUGGCUGUCCGUCGUAGGGGCAGGGGCCGCCAGUACCUCGUCGAUUGGGAGGGGUACGGGCCCGAGGAGAGGUCCUGGGUCCCUGCAAAGGACAUUCUGGACAAAUCUUUAAUCAGAGACUUUCAAAGACUGAAUCCAGAUGUUCCGGGGUCAUCUAGAGACACCCCUUGAUGGGGGGGGGGGGGGGGUACUGUCAUGAUCUGUGCUUUGUGGAAUCCACUUCCUGUUUUAUUUUGAAGAUCCUGUUUUCCCUGUGUUGCUGUUACUUUUACUUCCGGUCUUUGUUCUUUUUCCCGCCUUAGUUUAAUACUCCAUUGGCUUCACCUGUGUCUUGUCCCCUUCUCUAUUUAACCCCUCCUCACUAGCUCUUCCCUGCCAGAUUGUCUUUGUCAGUUUAGUACAAGCUCUCUCGUGUUUUGAUAUAUCUCUGCUCUCCGUGUAUGACCUGUUUUGAUCGCCCUGGAUUUCUGAUUCUUGCCUGCCCCACUGGUUUUUGUCGCCUGAUUAUUUGCUGCUCUGAUUUUGACUCUGCCGGGUUUUUGUUGGAAUAAAAGAGUGCCUUUUUGGAAACUGAACAACUGCCUCACGUCCUCUGCUUUUGGGUCCACACACUCUCGG
rnacentral:lncRNA from 1 species